UAGGGAAUCUUCGGCAAUGGGGGCAACCCUGACCGAGCAACGCCGCGUGAGUGAAGAAGGUUUUCGGAUCGUAAAGCUCUGUUGUAAGAGAAGAACGUGUGUGAGAGUGGAAAGUUCACACAGUGACGGUAACUUACCAGAAAGGGACGGCUAACUACGUGCCAGCAGCCGCGGUAAUACGUAGGUCCCGAGCGUUGUCCGGAUUUAUUGGGCGUAAAGCGAGCGCAGGCGGUUUAAUAAGUCUGAAGUUAAAGGCAGUGGCUUAACCAUUGUUCGCUUUGGAAACUGUUAGACUGGAGUGCAGAAGGGGAGAGUGGAAUUCCAUGUGUAGCGGUGAAAUGCGUAGAUAUAUGGAGGGACACCGGUGGCGAAAGCGGCUCUCUGGUCUGUAACUGACGCUGAGGCUCGAAAGCGUGGGGAGCAAACAGG
rnacentral:rRNA from 1 species